AUUGAACGCUGGCGGCAUGCCUUACACAUGCAAGUCGAACGGUAACAGGUCUUCGGAUGCUGACGAGUGGCGAACGGGUGAGUAAUACAUCGGAACGUGCCCGAGAGUGGGGGAUAACGAGGCGAAAGCUUUGCUAAUACCGCAUACGAUCUCAGGAUGAAAGCAGGGGACCGCAAGGCCUUGCGCUCACGGAGCGGCCGAUGGCAGAUUAGGUAGUUGGUGGGAUAAAAGCUUACCAAGCCGACGAUCUGUAGCUGGUCUGAGAGGACGACCAGCCACACUGGGACUGGGACACGGCCCAGACUCCUGCGGGAGGCAGCAGUGGGGAAUUUUGGACAAUGGGCGCAAGCCUGAUCCAGCCAUGCCGCGUGCAGGAUGAAGGCCUUCGGGUUGUAAACUGCUUUUGUACGGAACGAAAAGACUCUGGUUAAUACCUGGGGUCCAUGACGGUACCGUAAGAAUAAGCACCGGCUAACUACGAGCCAGCCGCCGCCGUAACAC
rnacentral:rRNA from 1 species